ACUGAAGACCACUGACGAGUUGAAAACAAAAUCAAAGAAAAUGCGGAGCCAUACAGCAAAGUCAAUUGGCGCUGCGAAAAAGUGUAAAUUAUGCAAUAGAACCUUCAGUUCAGCAUCCAUAAUGUUCAAUCACGUACAUGAAUAUUCCGGGCCCGGGUUUGCAUGUACCGUUCAAAAAUGCAAUUUCAUUUUCACGCACAAAUCUAAUUUCGAGAAGCACAUUAAGAGCCACACAGUUACCAACCCAUACUCUUGCGGACCGUUUGCUG